GACAGCGCAAGCUCCCGGCGUCGCUCGCGAUCUGCGCAGGCGUCGCCGCGCGGACACGUGCAGUUCCCGUCUUCAGAGAGCGCGCUCAUGACCAUAUCCUUCUUGACCUUUGCUGUUUUCCUCAUCAAACUGGUGCUGCAAGUGAUACAGACCUAUAAGCAGAAGGCGAUGAUGGUGGCUCCGCUGAUGGUCGCGUCAGGGCGCCACGUGUUCGCAAACCAUGGACAUCAUUGACGACAAUAAUAUGUAUCUUAUAUCCAUUUCAAUUGUGAUUGUGCGUUAAAAUGAAAUAAAUCUUUUGAAACCUGAA